AGAUUGAACGCUGGCGGCAGGCCUAACACAUGCAAGUCGAGCGGCAGCACGGGUACUUGUACCUGGUGGCGAGCGGCGGACGGGUGAGUAAUGCCUAGGAAUCCGCCUGGUAGUGGGGGAUAACGCUCGGAAACGGCGCUAAUACCGCAUACGUCCUACGGGAGAAAGCAGGGGACCUUCGGGCCUUGCGCUAUCAGAUGAGCCUAGGUCGAUUAGCUAGUUGGUGAGGUAAUGGCUCACCAAGGUGACGAUCCGUAACUGGUCUGAGAGGAU
rnacentral:rRNA from 1 species